GGGGUUGUGGCUCAGUUGUACAGUGCUCACCUAGAACAUGCGAGACCCUGGGUUCGAGCCUCAGCACCACA
rnacentral:tRNA from 1 species